UUUUGGUAAACUUCCAAAGUAUCAUCAGGAUCCUACAACAGAAGAGUUAGCCAAAACACUCGAUUGUUGGCCAUCAAUGAAUUAUUAUAUCACGGGUUGUAGAUAUGUUCUCAUGCCAUGGAAAUUCAAUGGAUGUUACGCCCUUUUCGUAAUAGAUCAUGUUAAAAAGCAUGUGACUUUUAUUGAUUUUACACCGACUCAAGAUUGGUGUAAACACAUGCCAUACAAGAGGUUCGCGGAAGCGAUUAUCAUGGCCUCAAAAAAAUAUAAGAUUGCUUACAGCAAGAAACGUUCUGCAUGGGCGGAGGAUAUCUUUAAGUGGGAACAUACAAUUCAGACUGGUGUUCCAAUUGACUUAAGAGGGUUUAAUACCAGCUACCUCGUUCUACAAGCUAUGGCCAUGUGGGGGAAUGACAGACGACUGAAAUUUGUUGGGGAUGCAAAGACUCUUCGAAGGAACUUUGUGAUUGAUCUGUUAAGUUAUGAGGAUAAUUCGUGCCGAUAUGCCAUCCCUGCAAACAUACAACAGAGACUCAUCGAUAUCGCUAAAAAGGAUUAGCUGAUUAGUUGUCGACAUAUUUGUCUGUAAUUAAAAAUUCUAAAUUAACUUU
rnacentral:misc_RNA from 1 species